GCAAGUCGAACGAGAACGGGAUUGCUUGCAAUCCUUAGUAGAGUGGCGCACGGGUGAGUAACACGUAGAUAAUCUACCUUCAAGCCUGGGAUAACUAUUCGAAAGGAUAGCUAAUACCGGAUGAAGUUGUUCUGCUCAAGUAGAAUAAUGAAAGAUUGCCUCUUCUUGAAAGCAAUUGUUUGGAGAUGAGUCUGCGGACCAUUAGUUUGUUGGUGGGGUAAAAGCCUACCAAGACUGCGAUGGUUAGCUGGUCUGAGAGGAUGAUC
rnacentral:rRNA from 1 species